AGAGUUUGAUCAUGGCUCAGGAUGAACGCUGGCGGCGUGCCUAAUACAUGCAAGUCGAGCGAGCGGACGAGAAGCUUGCUUCUCUGAUGUUAGCGGCGGACGGGUGAGUAACACGUGGAUAACCUACCUAUAAGACUGGGAUAACUUCGGGAAACCGGAGCUAAUACCGGAUAAUAUUUUGAACCGCAUGGUUCAAAAGUGAGAGACGGUCUUGCUGUCACUUAUAGAUGGAUCCGCGCUGCAUUAGCUAGUUGGUAAGGUAACGGCUUACCAAGGCAACGAUGCAUAGCCGACCUGAGAGGGUGAUCGGCCACACUGGAACUGAGACACGGUCCAGACUCCUACGGGAGGCAGCAGUAGGGAAUCUUCCGCAAUGGGCGAAAGCCUGACGGAGCAACGCCGCGUGAGUGAUGAAGGUCUUCGGAUCGUAAAACUCUGUUAUUAGGGAAGAACAUAUGUGUAAGUAACUGUGCACAUCUUGACGGUACCUAAUCAGAAAGCCACGGCUAACUACGUGCCAGCAGCCGCGGUAAUACGUAGGUGGCAAGCGUUAUCCGGAAUUAUUGGGCGUAAAGCGCGCGUAGGCGGUUUUUUAAGUCUGAUGUGAAAGCCCACGGCUCAACCGUGGAGGGUCAUUGGAAACUGGAAAACUUGAGUGCAGAAGAGGAAAGUGGAAUUCCAUGUGUAGCGGUGAAAUGCGCAGAGAUAUGGAGGAACACCAGUGGCGAAGGCGACUUUCUGGUCUGUAACUGACGCUGAUGUGCGAAAGCGUGGGGAUCAAACAGGAUUAGAUACCCUGGUAGUCC
rnacentral:rRNA from 1 species